CCUGGUAUUUCCGAGGAAACCCAAGCGAUCUCAGACGUGACCGGUAUCUCCAGUUCCACCAAAGCUGUGACGCCAUAAGGUGAGCUGACCCCCUUUCAACGUUUAAACAAACUACAGACAGGAACACAGCUGUUGCCAUUAAAUGCUUGAAUCUGGCUUCGCCCCAAGGAUACGGACCGUCCAAGGACGCUGGCUGUCAUGAGGGUCUCUUAGCAAGUCCACGCCCCAAACGGCCAGUCGCCAGAGAGAAAAGCUACAGGCCAGCUCCCCCCGGCACAGCUGCUUCCCCACCAGCCCCGUCCCCGGCACGCUCUCCUCCACCUCCACGCACGCCGGGUUCCUGCACAGCCAGAAACCAAACUGACGCUGAGGCACCAAAAGCAAGAAGAUCAGAGGGCUAGGCGGCUCGAGGGGCUUUAAACUCAGGCCAGAGGCCGCCACGCGCCCCCUGUGAGGGCUGAGGCCUGUGGGCUGGACGGUCCCUGCCGCCGGAGCACAGAGGCAGCCACGGAGGCCCAGAAAAGCAGGGGGGCCCAGCAGCCGGAAGCCCCCUGACCUUAGAGUCCUAGCCUCUGGACGUGAAUAGGAGAGAGCCGAUUUAGAGAUCGGAGGUGCUCCCGAGACGCAAGAGGUGCGCCUGCAGCCGUCGGGCGCCCGAGCGCCGGGGACUCACCUUCAUGAGCGCCGCCAGCACGACGCCCAGGAGGGUCAGCAGCAGAAGCCCGAGCUUCCCUUUGUUGAGCCGUUUCAGGAAGAACAGUUUCGCCCAGUCUACCUUCGACUGGCUGUUGGGAGGAUACCGGAGUUUGUUUGCACCUUCUCGCUUCAGGCUUUUUAACAAACAGGGACGUUGAUGCGAAAAAGUAUCGAAACUGUGUUUUCCGUGAUACGCUCCCAUCCCACUGGACCCUGAGAUAAAGGAACAGACGAGACGGGCUCCGCUGUGGGUGACGGCCCUCCUUCCGUGCACAAGGCGCCCCGGCUGCGCCCCUCCACCAGCGCACGUGGCUCGUUCCAGGACAUCCUCCCGGCGCCCCCCGCACGGCGGACCCCUGGCACAGGACGCUCUCCAAGGGCAGGGCAGGGACCGGCAGCUCCCGGGGUGCUGGCUGUCACUAUGCCAGGGACCAAGCUCAUUGUCACCGGAGCCCCACCUCCGGAGAGGGAGAGGGGGCUGGGCAGGGCCCGAGCGGGACUCCAAGCGGCCCGCUCCGAGAGCCGCGUGUGCCCGUUCCCACCGUCGCACGUGGCUGAGCCACGGCUCCCUCGGGCUCCUGGAAGGUGACCAAGGCCAGGACAGCGGGGUCACGCGGCUGGGUGGUAACAGGCCUCUCAGACCUGUGCUCUGGGACCGUGCUCCCGUCUCUGCUCGGUCACGUGAGCCGGGCAGACACGCGUGUGGCACAAGGCACCUGGCACGCAGCUUACUGGGGCCAGGCCGCUGGGGCAUCACUUAGGUGACAGCUGAAGCUGCAGGGAGACUCUGUGAUGUGUAUCAAGAGACACACAUUUUAAGGAAAAAAACCUAAACAACAAGCCAAAAUAUUAACGGUGUUUAUGCCUUGGAGGUUACUACAUUUUCCCUUGUAACUUUCUAUAGUGUUUUGUUUGGUUUUGCCCCUUUAUCCCAAAAAAGCAAAGGGACGUUCAAGCACUUGGCUGCUGUCUGCUCCUGGCGCUGUGAGCCUGUCAUGUGCUACCUCGUUCGAUAAAGGACAGAGGGCAUUUAUCAGUUCAACUGAGACCUGAUUUUUGGCCCAAGAAAUGCCCUGAAUCUGGGAGAAGAUCCAUAAACCAGUGAAGCAACGCAGGGAACAGUCAUUACAGACUGGGGAUGGAGAGGCGGACCCCAGGCAGCGGCUUGCGGGGGCAUUGACCAGGGGGGGCCUCACCCACGCCUCCGAAGGGCAGGGAGCUGAGCAUGAAGUGCAUGAUGACGUCGUUGCCCGUGACGCCCCCGCUGGACGUCCUGUCGAUCAUCCGCUUGAUGAGCUGAGGGCGAGAAGGAACAGAGGCGCCGGGUCAGCCGCCCCUCGAGGCUGGGGGCAGUGAGCGAGACCCGGACGGCCUGAAGACUUGGGCCCCCACGCCCGGCACACCCCAGCGCUGGACCCCCGGGACCACGGCCAGGGCCUUUCUUACCAGGGAUGGUUCAGGCUAUAUUCCAGGUUUUAAAAAUUGUUAGUAUUUCUCUACCUCUGCUUUAAAGGAUAGCAUGUGAUUAACAGGUUAUCAUUCCGUUUCUAUGAAAUGUAAAAAACAUUCAAGAUUUCAGAGGUAGCAUCCCGUUUUUGAAGGAAAUCGCUGGUUGGCCCAGGACCUGAGUGGGCACGAUGCACUUGACUGGUAAAUGUCGCCUCCCCUGGCUGCUGGCCCACCAAGUCCUCUGUAGCAAAGGUCACUGCUGACCGUGGGACCGAGCCUGACCCGCAGACCGCGGCUUCCACCCCGUCCACCACUGCCUGUGGUCAUUUCAACCGUCAGACCGCUAUGUGCCACUAACCCGUUCCUAGCUGAGCCCCGCACGUCCGGUCUCCCUGGACGGUCUGUAGAGAUCGGUACCGCGCCAGCAUCGCCAGCACCGCCAGCUCUAGAAGCUGCCCCGAGACUCCCUGCGUGGCCCCGGCAGAGGCUCUGCAGAAAACACCUGCUGUGGGAGCUCCUCGACCUCAGCUGGCUGCACCCUCCCUUCCGAGUUUUCCCCUUUUUUCAGAGGCUCCUGGCCUACUGGCCCACCUUGAGGCCACUGUCCCUUAGCAGCGGCCGGUCACCUCGAGGCGCAUACGGACGGGCCGCGUGCAGGGCGGCAGCGGGGCUGCUGGGCCUGGGGUGGCGUGUGAUCUGCCCGCCCGGCUGGGACGGCAACACCACUCCAACCACAAAGGCACGUGGCUGGAGAAAGCCAAGUCCGAGGCUUCCCAAGCACCUCCCUCAGCAGCGCCAGAGACACCGCCCUGCGGGCCGCAGACGCCGUGUGGGUAAGAGCCGGGGCUCUACACAGGACGCCCUACCGAUCAGCAGCAGAAACGUUUCUGAUGCUGGCGCUCAGACGUCUCCCAGUGACAUGGCAGGUGUCUGUGAGUCACCAGGCUUGUGACACUCGCCCCGAAGACUCAGCUCUGACCCCGGGGAGUAAGGGAAGGGUCACGGCGAUAACCCCAGGGCCUCAUUACCCAGGACUGGGGGACUCUGGCAUCACACGAAAUAAUCAGCAUUUGCUUUACAGCAGAGAAGGAGCGUGGCCUCUGAGAGCGAGCUGCACGCGGGGAAGUUCACCUUAGUGUUACGAGAAAACACGUAGAAGGCCAGGGGCUUCUCGCGUUCGUUUAUGAAUUGUAUGGCCUCAUCGGCAUCCUUCACAGGCACUAUGGGAAGAAUUGGUCCAAAAAUUUCUUCUUGCAUCACCUUGGUUUCAGGAUCCACAUCAGUGAGUAUCGUUGGGGCUGAAAAAUGAAAACGCUCAAGCAGAAGACAGAAAUGCCAAACUCUCACCUCACGUCUGGCUCACUGGGUCACCCACCCAUCCCUUCCCCACUCCCGCCCAGGUGUCAUCUACUGAGACAAGUCCCAAGUACGUGGGUGAACCGUGCAAAUAUUACAUCUCCACGCGUGUGCCUCAGGGAUCCCUGUGCAAACCCAGGGGGAGAGACAGGCUUGAGUAAAUCCUAUGCAUGUUUAACCCUGUUCAGCACCACAUUCCUAUGUCUUUCUGUGGACAGGCCUUCCUGGGAGCGCAGAGGGCCCCGCGGUGGAUCAAACCAGUACAGCUUCUUAACUGAAGUGCGUUCCUGCCUGUGAUCUCUUUGAUCUUGAUUACAACUGCGUCAGGUUCAGAAAACGUAGUGAAAUGGUGGGAUUCCCUAAGCCUUAGCUCAGCGUUCCGUCCACUCUGGGGAAAGACACAGACAGGAGGACGACACGGAUCCUGAAGAGCUUUGUGGGGUGUCCCGUGUCCACACCAAGAAGUCCCCAAGCCGCAGUGCUCGGGGAGACCCUGCGGACGGGCUGGAGGGUCGACUACAGGAGAAGACACCUGGCGGAACAAGCGUGCUCUCUCCUCCACCCACGGUUACGACCGGGCGGUCCCGCAGGCACGCCACAGGACGGCUCUCCCCCAGCACGCCCGGGGCACCGAAGCCGCUGCCUCAGAUCCGCCGCCCGCGGCUCCCCCGGCCCAGAGGUGUCCAUCCCCCUCUGCAGAGCCACGCGCUAAGGUCUUCUCUGGACUGGAACUUCCACCAGUCAGACAGCCGUGAAACUGCUCGAAAGAUCAGAACACAGUUCUGGCAAAUCAACCAGAGUAAGAGAGCCUCAGAAGCCAAGCAGUCAGCCCCGCGGGAGCCCUCCAUCUACUCUCCAGCGGGAACGAGCACGGUCCAGCCCCCGCACCCGCCUCGAACCCGGGCGGUAGGAAGCUCCUGGGCAGCUUGUUGCAAUGCAUGUUCUCGGGCCCCAACGCCGGAGCCACAAGAGUGGUUUUCAGUGCUGGCCACACCUCAGAAUCACCUGGAGACCCAGCCCAGCUGAACCACAGUCUUUGGAGGGGGAGAAAUGGAAGCUUUCCUUAAACGGCUCCUGGUGAACCUCAGUGGAGAGCCACGGUGACGAGAGAAUACACGCCUCCUGGAAUGCCAGUUCCUCACCACGCUCACCCGAGCACGUCCCCUGCAACCCCAGUGUCUUCCCAGCGUCGGGCCAAGCUCCCCUUUCACGCUCUCCUUGUCCGGCCCCAUCGCGGUCCCGCCACUAACAUCCAAAUUCCACGUCACCUAGCUGCUCACAUACGUCACUCCUGGGUGUUCCGGAGCCUUCCUUUCGGGGCUCGGUCAGCACCCGGCGAGUGAACAACGGUUGUUUCAGUAAUUUCUCCACCCAGGGGGCUCCCACUGCUGAACUGUCACAGCUUCACCCCUUCCUUUCUUCCCGUCCUACGUUCCUUCUGGCUCAGCUCAGGACACCACCGUGUAGCCUUCCUUGGUCCCCUCACUAGAGAUCGCCAUUGGAAACGCCCUCAAAGACUGAUGGCCGCGUCAAGAGUGCACGCUCCUCGAAACUGCUGGCCUCUCUAAACCGCCGGCACAGCCGAGAACCGAGAACCUUGACCGCCGCAGCCGUGGCGAGAGGGCCUUGGCCACACCAGGCCUUGCAACGUUCUCCCCAAACCACACAAGAGCUACUGAGCUUUUUUCUUUAAGGCCCGUUCUACACCUAACCAGUUGUGCCAUCAACAAAUCGACUAGACAGUGUCAGCGUGUGUAGCACCAAUCUCACCCUGCUACCACGUUCUAAGAGAGCACUUUUCAUUAGCCAGGAAAUUAGUUCAGUCACGUGCUCCUGGAACGUUCCUGGGCAGGGGGGCGAUACCCCCUGCAAACAGCUGACUUCACUCCGUAUCCCAAUGAGACCCGUGGACCCAGAGGUGGGAAACACGAACCUUCACGGCCUCCUUCACCUUCUGCACGAUCAGGUCCUGGAGGGACGGCUCGCAGAGCACGUAGUCGGGGGCGAUGCAGGUCUGGCCGCAGUUCAUGUACUUGCCCCAGGUGAUGCGUCUGGGAAAAGCACCAGCAGCCAGAGUUCAGUCCCCACGCACCUGUCACACACUUCGGCGCUGUCUAAAUGUUUUUCAGCUAGCUGUCAAGAUUACUAGUACAUAAACGUAUUUGGUAAUCUUGAUAAAAAAAAUGUUUUGAAAACUCAUCUCUAAAUCGGUUGGAACUGAGAACGCAUUUUCAAUUGGCGUAGAAUAUUCUACAAAGCAGGGAAAGCCUCAUGCCAGUUCAUGAGAAACAGUACUUUAUACGCAGGGAAGCCACUGCCUGCGGCAGGAAAGGAGAAAAACAGCCUCCUGACACCCUCCUCCUCCUCCCGCCCCGGCCAAGAGGACAUCUGGGAGGACAGGGGUUCCACAGACACUACGGCUCCUGCUGUGGCUUCGACCUGCUGCACGAUGCCAGGUACCAGCAGGACCAGAAGCCCUCCCUGAUCUGGGACGCUGUGCCCGGGCUCGGACGGAAACCCACGAACCGGGGUCCCCUGUUCCAGCAAGUAGACGUCUACUUACAGAGCCAACCCGGAGCCCGGCCAAUGCCCCCUGCUCCGCCCGUCUGAAGGGAGGGAGAGCCACGCCAUGCCAGCACAGUCAGCUGUGGGUUUGGGCACUUCCUGUUAGCUGAACUGAUUUAGCGGAGACAACCCGAAACCUUGCAUCUUCUAGUUCUCAGAUGCAAGAUGCUAUUAUUCUCAGUUACAAGAUGAGAAUUAUUGGUUUUAUCAAUAAAGGAACUCAGUUAAGAGAUCAGCAUAAUGCCCUUUCUUUGGAAAUUUAAAGAUUUUAUUAGGCACACAGGAUCCUUGGCAUUAUCUACUUCCUGGAUCAGCUAUCAGCAGAACAGUAAAACUUCUUGCCAGGUCUAUUAUCUAGAGAACAGACAUAGCUUUUCCUCAUCCUGAGGGCCACUGUGUGAUGUCACAACCUCGUGUUCAUCUCCGGUUGUGGCACCAAGGCGUGGUUUGUGAAAGAGUCCUGGUCCCUGUGAGGACAUCGACCGGCAGUGCCCAGCGAGGAGGCACAGAGGGCGUGCCAGCCUGCGGGGGGAGUCCAGAUAACCAGUCUCACCUGCAGGCGACGUCCAGGUCACAGUCUUUGUCAACGUAACACGGACUCUUCCCUCCCAGUUCAAGGGUCACCGGGGUCAGAUGCUUGGCGGCGGCUUCCAUGACAACUUUUCCAACAGCGGUGUUCCCCGUAUAGAGAAUGUGGUCAAAUCGCUGCUUCAGAAGCUCCGUGGUUUCCUCGAUGCCACCAUUAACAACCGCGUACAGGUCCUUCAAGAAAGAAAGACAAACACUCGCGUCACCGAAGGAAUCCUAUCGUCUGACGUAAACACGUAACAUUCAGUGAAACCAGGAAAAGGUGGAGACUGGCCCCGGGAAACCACAAGACGGGGGCUGGGCGAGGGGAGGGCUGUGGGAACGUGGCCGCUGUCGGUGACCACAGGACAGGCCCCAGGCGCGUCCACCCGGACGUCCUCUCUGCACUCGGCUCAGCGUGGGGCUCAGGCCGUGGGGGGAACCGAGUGACUGCCGCCCGAACGUGUGCCAAGGCCGGCAGGGGAGCGUCUCCAGGGACAGGUCCCGGUGCCCCCGCACCCCGUCAUCCACUAGCUCGCGUGCCCGCUGGCGGCCGCCCGACGCCUCGAGCCUAGCCUCCUCUUGGGAUGGGGGGACGUCACGGGGCUUUGCACCGAACCCUCGUGUGCACCGGGCGACUGUCUGCAGCUGUCGCACGAGAGAGGGUAGCAACGGCGUGGAGAGCAGCGGCGGGACACCAAGCACGAGGCAGCUGGUGGGCCUCGCGUUGCCCCUCCAUCUCUACUCACAGCUCAGCGGCCCGACAGGUGUUGCAAGCUUUAGCUUGCCUCCGCCUGCAUCCACAGAGCCUGUGUGGUUGGUCCCCGACAAGCCGAGUGAGGCAGGGCCGGAAUGACGACCCCCGUCCGGGCAGAGGGAGACAGUGAAGCGUCUGCCCCACCGCCCUGCCUUCACCGCCCUUCUGCACUGGGUACCCCAGGCCCUGGGACAACAUUGCUCCGUGGCCGCCGUGGCCGCCGUGGCCGGGAACGAGCCAACACGGGGAGCACGGCUCCUCCGAGGGCCGGAGUUGGCCUGCAGGCUGCUGUCGGAAAACGCGGCCGACUCCACGCGUGAUGCCGCAGAGCUGCGUCUCUCGGGCGCGCACGGACCACUCCUCCACGCAGAGCUAACGGCCCCAGUUCACGUGGCGUCACAAUCCCCUCCACGGCGGCACCAGACCUCUGCUUCAGAGAUCGUCUUUUCUCCACAGCUUCCAAUACUCUUCUUUUUAAAGAUUUUUUUUUUUGAUGUGGACAAUUUACAAAGUCUGUGUUGAAUUUGUUGUAAUAUUGCUUCUGUUUUUUGUUUUGGUUUUUUGACCGCGAGGCACGCGGGAUCCCAGCUCCCCGACCAGGGAUCGGACCCGAACCUCCGCCCCUGCAUUGGAAGGCGAAGAGCCUUAACCACUGGACCACCAGGAAGUCCCAGCUUCCGAUAGUCCUAAAUGCCAGUACUGUAACCUGGGUGAGAGCCCACACUCUGGGUCAGGAGGCCUUUUUCUUCCUGUAGUUUUCAGGCCACAAACAUGCCCGUUUAAAUGUAGACGUGUGCUCACAUAACCGUACCUCGUGAAGAGCACCCAGGCCGGUACCAGUCCCUCAUUACAUAACUCACUAAACGGAUACACCUAAAAUCAUGUCAGAUCAAAGGUUAAUUCGAAAUGCCAAAUGGCAGCGGAGGCUUUGUUAAUAGCAGAGGUGCCGAUAAAGCCACGGGCCUGACCAAACCGUGUAACUACAAUAGCUAAACUAUUCCACAGUUUUUUUGGAACUUAACUUCUCUUGUUAAGCCAGACGUGGGAGGCUGAGGGAAAAUGAGUGUGGAGGCCUGACCACCAAUGACGCAAGCCAGCACGAGGAGCAGAGUGGGUUCCCCACGACAGACAGAUGUGCCAGACAGACAGACAUGCCAGAGGGGGGGCAAGGCCCUCUUACCUGGUCUAAGUACUGAGGGAGGAGCUUAGCCAAGACCUUGGCUGUAUUUUCACUUAUUUCAGAAGGCUUGAUAAUCACAGCAUUUCCUAAACAAAGCAAAAAGCAGGACAGCGUUGUCUAGUACUUGAGUGAUUCUUACAUCCUUGAGACGGGGCUCCUGUGGGGAGCACAGGCUAAGGGUUCAUUCCUCUGGUUAUUUCUGGCUCUGCGUUCUGCCUUCCUCACCACAAGCGUGAGCGCUCGUCCCACUGCCUCUUUCCCAAAGGCUAACUCCUCAGUGCUCACCACGUACGUCCUUGACGAGAGGCCCCAUCCCCCAGGCCUCCGGCCUUCUCUCACUGUUCUCACUCCCACCCUUGGAUUUUCCUUUUGCCCUGGGAUUAUUGCACAAACAAGCUUUGCCAACAUAAAGCUGUUGGUCUGGAUCCUGGUUAACUGAGAAAUGAAUCCCUUGGCAUUUGCUGUAGACCCAAGCACGCAUUACUCCCAGAGCCCUUAUUUGAAUGAAGAAAGGGGUCAGACAGAAUCAACUGGUUCAUCCAAAGCCAGAGGUGGCGACUGAAACCACAUGACGAUAUGGACGUCUGACUCCAAACCCGGGCCUGUGGACUCGCGCAUGCCUCUACACCCUCACGGGUUCAUUCUCCGGGGCUCCAGAAAGCAGUCACCCCACAAAUCUCUGGAGCCCACUGAACAAUUUCAGAGAAUACGCCUCUCGAAGACAGCAUAAGGACGGAAGCUGACACCAGACCUGCAGCGAUGGCUCCUAUCAGAGGCUGGAUGGUGAGGACAAAGGGGUAGUUCCAAGCUCCGAUAAUCAGCACGACUCCCAGGGGCUCUGGCUGGACGUAGGCCUCGUCCAGCAUGGUGAGCAGGUUCUUCUGAGCUGGUUUAGCAGCAGCCCAUUCAGGAAGCUUCUCCAGCACGAGAUCAAUUUCCCCAAGCACGGUGAUGACUUCUUGACUGUAUGCGUUGAAUUCACUCUGUUACAAGAGGGUCACAGUUAACCUUUGUGGGUAGGACACACUUGGCCCUGAAUGUCAGAAGCAUCGGGCCAGGGAAUUCCCUGACGGUCCAGUCGUUAGGGCUCUGUGCUUCCACUGCAGGGGACACGGGUUUGAUCCCUGGUCGGGGAACUAAGCCGUACGGCAAUGGAAAAAAAAAAAAAAAAAAAAAAAGCAUCAGGACAGGCACACCUGUCAGACUAGCUGGUUUGCCAUGCAGAUUCCUGUGUGUCCUCCAGGCCCACAGUAAGGACUUGCUAAUUCCCUUCUUAAUAAAUUCAAUCCCUUUAAAUCCUUCUUUACUGAUCCAAGCCAUUUAAAGUCAGGCUUAAACGUUAACUCUUUCAUGAAGACUUCCCUAAUUAAUAAUGGUGCGCCUUGAUCACACUUUAUAAACCAUAGUCAUUAUGCUUUCCCCUAUAUCUUAACAUUUCAGCCUUAAUACGCUGGC